UACGGGGGGGGCAAGCGUUGCUCGGAAUUACUGGGCGUAAAGGGCUCGUAGGCGGCCCUCUCAGUCGGAUGUGAAAUCCCCAGGCUCAACUUGGGAACUGCGUCUGAUACUGGAUGGCUUGAAUCCGGGAGAGGGGUGCAGAAUUCCAGGUGUAGCGGUGAAAUGCGUAGAUAUCUGGAGGAACACCGGUGGCGAAGGCGGCAUCCUGGACCGGCAUUGACGCUGAGGCGCGAAAGCCAGGGGAGCAAACGGG
rnacentral:rRNA from 1 species